AGCUCAGCUGGCUAGAGCGUACGGUUCAUACCCGUGAGGUCAGCGGUUCGAUCCCGCUAGUCUCCACCA
rnacentral:tRNA from 1 species